GAUUAACGCUGGCGGCGUGCUUAACACAUGCAAGUCGAACGAUGAAGCCCAGCUUGCUGGGUGGAUUAGUGGCGAACGGGUGAGUAACACGUGAGUAACCUGCCCUUAACUCUGGGAUAAGCCUGGGAAACUGGGUCUAAUACCGGAUAGGAGCGUCCACCGCAUGGUGGGUGUUGGAAAGAUUUAUCGGUUUUGGAUGGACUCGCGGCCUAUCAGCUUGUUGGUGAGGUAAUGGCUCACCAAGGCGACGACGGGUAGCCGGCCUGAGAGGGUGACCGGCCACACUGGGACUGAGACACGGCCCAGACUCCUACGGGAGGCAGCAGUGGGGAAUAUUGCACAAUGGGCGCAAGCCUGAUGCAGCGACGCCGCGUGAGGGAUGACGGCCUUCGGGUUGUAAACCUCUUUCAGUAGGGAAGAAGCGAAAGUGACGGUACCUGCAGAAGAAGCACCGGCUAACUACGUG
rnacentral:rRNA from 1 species